CCGUGUUAGCCAGGAUGGUCUCGAUCUCCUGACUUCGUGAUCCACCGCGCCUGGCCGACAUCACAUUUUACUUCUGUCCAUCAGCUCCUCAGUUUAGGAAAAUCUUAUCUUCCUAACAAAUAGAAAACUCUUGUAGCUCAAAUAAGAGGAAAAGAUGAGGCCUAAUGUUUAAAGUCCUGAUGGAUUCAAAGCCCUGAUGGAGUCUCUCCACUCCUCAUACCUGAAGUCUGAAUAUUUGUCAUCUCAGAUUAUCUACAACUAAGGAGGGAACCUGACUUUUUCUUUGUCCCAGAGUGGGCAGGUUAUUCUCCCUCCCAAUACAAACCACCUUAAGGAAAAGAUACAACUUAUUGGCAUAAAUGGCUGGGAUUGUUCUGAGGUUGUUCAUAGGUUCAAAGAAAUUGCUGCAGGGACUAGAACAAGGCCUCACACCACCAAGAUUUUCCUCACUUCUUCAGGCAGCCUUCUGCCUACCUGUCCCGCAUGGCGUCAUUCCUCAGAAGGCUUCUCCAGGCUCCUGGAAGAAAAAUGGAACUAAAAAGGGAAAACAAUAGCAACAAAGAUCAAAAUAAAUAACAAGGAAGCGGAGAGAAGAAAGAACAUGGUGAAGAGAGUGAAACGCAUUGUCAUUUGGGGUGAAUUGCAGAAAGAAAUAAAUUAUUGUUCUUAUAUAUAAGUGA